AUGACAAAUCUCGGUGCUGAAGAAGAAGUCGAAUCAUGUCAUUAUCAAUUCGAACUACCAAAGCAUAGUUUAAUGUUUUACGGUUUUUGGGUUAUAUUUAUUGUAAUAAUUGUAGUUAUGACACAUUUUAAUGAUUACUCAGAGCCGAUUGUCCCAUGGGAUAAUUGUGAUAUGAAUAACACCUGGGAGCCUACAACGCGACCUUUCAUUAAUAAAAUGCAGCUAAAAAGUGAACUUUUAAAAAUUGCAAGUUUCCGAGAAAAAAAUCGUUUAUAUCGACGGAAUAAUUUUACAAGAAUCGAAUAUGGCACCUCCUUGUUAUCAUAUUGUAAAUCAGAUGGGCAAUUAAUAUGUGACUGGUAUAAUAAGAAAGCUUUCGUACCAGUUCCUGGUGGUCAUUUUGUAAAGUCAAUCACAAGAACCAUUGAACUCGACCCAUAUUUUUCUUCUGGAUUGCGGUUUUUAGUUUUGGAAUGUAUGAGUUUUCGAAUGACAAUGGCUUUAGUCCGAACAACCGAUGUUCUUACGAGUAAGAUAAAUCCAUUUCCACGAGUUAUUCAAUUUUUGUUAUCAUCUGCACCUUGGAUAUCCUUUCUACAGUCUUUAUCAUUGUUUUUGAUAACUUCUCUUCACUCGGAAUUCGAUAAAGAAUAUCUCACAUUUUUCCAGCCGUAUGCGUUUUCAAUGGUGGGAGCAUUCACAUUUCUUGAGAUGCUGAUCGAUCUUCUUCAUGAUGCUUUUGACGGAAGAUUUGUUUUUGUAAGUUUCAAUAGGGAUUCCGUGGCGUUUUGUGCAGUUUUUGUCUCAUUCCUGUCUGCCUACGUGCCUGCGAUAAAAUAUGAUUUUACAAAGUUUUCGUGUUUCAAAAAACGAUUCAAACUCCGAGAUUCUACAUCAAAUCCAUCUUCUUUGUCACAUUUUCAGCUUGCUUUCCGCAUGUUAUUCUAACUUGGAUGCAGUUUCAAAAGCUGAAAAGAUGUCACGCAUAUGUUCCACUAAUUGAUGGAUUAUUCGAAUACAUUUGUGCUGCUGCAAUCAUUGCGUACAACUUUAUAAAUGCUCAAACUCGAAUACAAACGUUUAUUUCGCCUACUGUAAGAGAUGUCCGUAAUGUUUCUUCCUAUUCUAGUGAUGUCUAUAGUCCCGUUUGUUAUAGAGAAAAAUCAAUGAUUUAUGAAAGUUUAAGCGAUAGAAAAUAG